rnacentral:misc_RNA from 1 species
AUGAGUCUGAACGAAGCUGUUCUGGUCUUUCGGGGCAAGUGAACGCUUCACUCAAUCCAUCUUACACCCGUGCACCUUUGGGGGGGAAUAACAGAGGAUUCAAAAAGUUGGAUAACGACGAUGACCCUUCAUGUUAUUCUCUUCUAUCAAAAAUUACUGUAUUUAGAAAGUCUUUGUUUUGCUUGAUGCAAACUAUAUA